rnacentral:tRNA from 1 species
CGCGGGGUGGAGCAGCCUGGUAGCUCGUCGGGCUCAUAACCCGGAGGUCGUGGGUUCAAAUCCCACCCCCGCAUCCA